ensembl:lncRNA
ACAAUGCAUUACAUUUUAUUUUUUAGAAUUCUUUGAUGAAAAGAAAGUUCAAAAUAACAGCAUUUAUUGAAAUAUAAAUCUUUUGUUAAGAAUGUCCUUCAUUUAUGACUAAUUUUAAUGUGUUCCUGCUGAAUAAAAGUCUUUUUUAAAUCAAUCAAUCAAUCAAUCAAUCAGUCACUCAGUAAGUAACUAACUAGCUAAAAUUUGAACAGUCGAACUGUAUAAUGAAAUUAUCAUACAUGGCAAUCAUAUAUACAUACUGUACAUAAUUAGAUGUUAUCACAUGAAGUGCAUGAUUAAGCAUUUUUUUCUUUCUGUCUUUCUUUCUGUCUAUCUUUCUUUUAAAGGUAUUUCACCCGGACCCUCAAGAUACAACCCAUCAGCCGUAGGGUUCAGGUUUAUGGGAAUAAACUCCUUCAAAGAACGAUAAAUCAUUGACACCAGUUGAGUGUCACCAGCAGGAAUGGUUUGGAUCAGCCUAAAUGAAUCCAGCAGUGUGACGGGCAUCUCCUACAGCCGUGCAGACUGAUGAUUGAUGGCUGUUCAUGACAGCUUUACUGUACUGAUGGAUGACUUUUGUAAUAGAACAGGAGCAGCGCUUGUGCUUAGACGAGUGGAGGGCAGCAAUCACUGUGUAUGAGACCUGCUGGAGCUUGAUUUGAGCUGCUGAUCAGUGUGUUUGUUCAGGGCGAUGGCCCAUUCUGUGUGAUCUGCUGCCCUGUGAGACGAUUGCUACAGUAAGGAUGCUCCACAGAGGCAGCUUAACUGUACUGAUUGAUGACUCUGGUAAUGCUGUUUGUUGAAGAGUCAUAUUGAAUGAAUUUACUGAAUGUUACUGCAUCCACCUACAUCAUGAAAUUUGUUACUGGGGCAAUCUUAAAUGUAGUUUCAUUAUUUAUUUAUUUAUCUUUAACUAACAAUGUCCCCUUGAAUUAUAUUAUAAUUAUAUUGAAAUACGUACAUACAUACAUACAUACAGUGCCCUGCAAAAGUAUUCAUACCCCUUCAUUUUGUUCAUGUUUUGUUAUGUUUUUGAAGUCAGUGAUGAUUUGGGGUCUGCUGGUGUCAGUCCAUUGUUUUUAUCAAGUCCAAAGUCAAUGCAGCCAUUUACUAGGAGAUUUUGGAGCACUUUAUGCUUAA